rnacentral:rRNA from 1 species
AACGCGAAGAACCUUACCUGGGCUUGACAUGUGCCUGACCGGCGUGGAAACACGUCUUCCCUUCGGGGCAGGUUCACAGGUGGUGCAUGGCUGUCGUCAGCUCGUGUCGUGAGAUGUUGGGUUAAGUCCCGCAACGAGCGCAACCCCCGUCGCAUGUUGCCAGCAUUUAGUUGGGGACUCAUGCGAGACUGCCGGUGACAAACCGGAGGAAGGUGGGGAUGACGUCAAGUCCUCAUGCCCCUUAUGUCCAGGGCUACACACGUGCUACAUUGGCGCAUACAGAGGGCUGCGAUACCGCGAGGUGGAGCGAAUCCCUUAAAGUGCGUCUCGGUUCGGAUUGCAGGCUGAAAUUCGCCUGCAUGAAGGCGGAGUUGCUAGUAAUCGCGGAUCAGCAUUGCCGCGGUGAAUACGUUCCCGGGCCUUGUA